GAAUGAACGCUGGCGGCGUGCCUAACACAUGCAAGUCGAGCGAGAAAGUUCCCUUCGGGGAGCGAGUACAGCGGCGCACGGGUGAGUAACGCGUGGGUAACCUACCCUCGAGUGGGGGAUAACUCGUCGAAAGGCGGGCUAAUCCCGCAUACGUCCCGCAGACCCAUGUCUGCAGGAGAAAGAUGGCCUCUGCUUGCAAGCUAUCGCUCUUGGAUGGGCCCGCGUUAGAUUAGCUUGUUGGUGAGGUAACGGCUCACCAAGGCUCCGAUCUAUAGCUGGUUUGAGAGGACGACCAGCCACACUGGAACUGAGACACGGUCCAGACUCCUACGGGAGGCAGCAGUGAGGAAUAUUGCGCAAUGGGGGAAACCCUGACGCAGCGACGCCGCGUGAGUGAUGAAGGCCUUCGGGUUGUAAAGCUCUGUCAGAGGGAAAGAAAGGGGAUGCGGAAUAAUACCCGCAGCCAUUGACGGUACCCUCGAAGGAAGCACCGGCUAACUCCGUGCCAGCAGCCGCGGUAAUACGGAGGAUGCAAGCGUUAUCCGGAUUCAUUGGGUUUAAAGGGUGCGUAGGCGGGCUAUUAAGUCAGUGGUGAGAUCCUGCAGCUUAACUGCAGAACUGCCGUUGAUACUGAUAGUCUUGAGUUUGGUUAAGGUAGGCGGAAUGUGUAAUGUAGCGGUGAAAUGCUUAGAUAUUACACAGAACACCANUUGGCGUAGGCAGCUUACUGAGCCGACACUGACGCUGAGGCACGAAAGCGUGGGGAUCAAACAGGAUUAGAUACCCUGGUAGUCCACGCCGUAAACGAUGAUUACUCGCUGUUGGCGAUACACUGUCAGCGGCUAAGCAAAAGCAAUAAGUAAUCCACCUGGGGAGUACGGCCGCAAGGUUGAAACUCAAAGGAAUUGACGGGGGCCCGCACAAGCGGAGGAACAUGUGGUUUAAUUCGAUGAUACGCGAGGAACCUUACCUGGGCUUAAAUGUAGAGUGCAUUUUCUAGAGAUAGAAAUUCCCUUCGGGGCUUUCUGCAAGGUGCUGCAUGGUUGUCGUCAGCUCGUGCCGUGAGGUGUCGGGUUAAGUCCCAUAACGAGCGCAACCCUUAUCGUUAGUUGCCAGCUGGUAAAGCAGGGGACUCUAGCGAAACUGCCACCGUAAGGUGAGAGGAAGGUGGGGAUGACGUCAAAUCAGCACGGCCCUUAUGUCCAGGGCUACACACGUGUUACAAUGGCCGGUACAGAGGGCUGCUACCUGGUGACAGGAUGCUAAUCUCGAAAACCGGUCUCAGUUCGGAUCGAAGUCUGCAACUCGACUUCGUGAAGCCGGAUUCGCUAGUAAUCGCGCAUCAGCAACGGCGCGGUGAAUACGUUCCCGGGCCU
rnacentral:rRNA from 1 species